rnacentral:tRNA from 2 species
GGGCCCGUAGCUCAGCGGCAGAGCGGGCGGCUCAUAACCGCUUGGUCGCAGGUUCGAAUCCUGCCGGGCCCA